rnacentral:lncRNA from 1 species
UAAAUUUAGCCAUUGUAACUAUUCUAUCCCUUAUCCUCGAUCAUUACCCUUCACUUGUGAGCAUACACAACGUUAUUAAAGAUGUCUUAUGCGUGUCUCUACUCAAAGGGUCGGUAAAGUUUACAAUUACAUCAGCAUUAAAUGCCCAGCAGACCAUUUGUAAUCUUUAGCUGGUCGUCGAGUGGCUCAUAUCCAAAUUUGUAGCUUGUAGGACCAACCAUUCAUUUGCUUAGACACAGUUUGAUCUCUGGUCCCCUAUCAUACAUGCUGAUCAAUUAAAAGUUAGGUCCAUGUGAUUCUUGGCCACUAUCACUUGAGAAAUUAGAGGACAUCACUCACUAACAGGACAUUCAGCACAAGCUUUUCAUAAUGUAUGCCACCAAAGUUACACUUUGAAUCAUGCAGAAAUUUCUUGAUUAUGAGUUGAAAGACAGAAUGUGAUCAGUCAGGUGCUAAUGUCUACUGGCAAGCCCCACAAAAUGCCCCUGAUCACCACACAUUUCUACAUUCAAUAGAUUUCCAGGACCCCCUUUUAUCUAUAUAUACAAACACAUGCAUCAUAUCCCACAACCAAAUCCAAGUCCUCACCAGUUUCUCUCUAAGAAAUCUUCGGUUUCUUCUCCCGGAGUCAUCUUUGAUCUUCGUCAUCACCUGCAAAGCCAUGGCAAUUCGUUUUCCAAGUGUUUUACAUGCUAAGCAAAUUCUGCGUCAAUUACAGUUGUUAGCGAAUCAAGCAGCAGCAGCUUCGGUGUCUAGAGAUGUGCCAAAAGGAUACCUCGCAGUCUAUGUCGGGGAGAGGUCACAAAAGAAGAGAUUCAUAAUUCCUGUGUCAUUCUUGAGUCAGCCUCCAUUUCAAGAAUUGUUAUCAAAAGCUGAGGAAGAAUUUGGUUACAAUCAUCCAAUGGGUGGUCUCACUAUUCCCUGCAGAGAAGACAUCUUCAUUAAUCUCACUUCUGGCUUGAAUGGAUCAUGAUGCGGCUAUAAAAAGCAAUGAUUGGUGACAUGACAAUUUUUUUAUUUCUUGUACAAUUCAUUUUUCUUGGUUUACGCAGUAGAUUGGAUCCAAUGGGGAACGUUACCUAUAUGAGAGAUUAGUUGUCCAAUUCGUUCAUUAAUUAGUUUUUGACACAUUUUGUUCUCAAUGAAAGUAUACUUCCUUAUGCUUCCAAGAUAAUUUUUCCUUUUAAUGGUUUAACGCCAUUCCUUCGACCUCAUUUGUUCGUGUUGGGAAAGGGACUACCACAAGCAGUUGGAAAUUAAGUGAAAACAAAACUCUUUUCCUCUUUAUGUGAUUAAAAUAGGAUGUGUACCAUAAAUAAAUAUGCAGAAAAAUAAAUCAAUAAAUCCAAAACAAAAACCAACCACAAGAGACACCGAUUUUUACGUGAAAAACUCAAAUCGAGAAAAACCACGGGACCGUAGUCUGAUUAAACUUCCACUAUAUUAAUGGGCGACUAACAACAUCAAGAUUCUUAAUAAUCUUGGCUUACAAUAAUAGAUCUAAAAUCUAUUUCUACAAUAAGUGGGUAUCUCAAGCUACAGAGAGAAUAAAAUACAGAUGAACACCAGUAGAAAUGUAGAGGGCGAUUUCAAAAACUUACCCUCCAAAUUUAGGAUGAAUCGGAGCUAAAAUCAUCUUCCGAUUGUUGAAUCAAAGACUGAAAUCCCACAGAAAUCUUUGUCUCUCGCAGCGUCUUCUCUCUCUCGCGAAA